ACAACAAAGUAUUUACUUCUCGAAAAUGAAUGUUUAGCUGAUUUCGUAUGAAUAAAACAGCAUUCAUCAAGUAUUUACUUCGAUAUUAUCAAGUUUGCUCAUGAGCAUACUUUGGAUCUGAAAACACUAUCAUUCGUUUUGAUGUCAUAUCCGAUUUAUGUUUAAUGCUGCUAUCUUGCGCUUGAAGUUAAACAAGUUAACGAUCCGCAUUGAUGGCAUUGAGCUUCGUUUACUAAUUUAGGGGAGCGUAAAAAAAUUGAUUGAUUUUCAGGCGGAAUGAACACGUUUUUAAAAUUUAAAUUAUGAAUGAAAAAUAACCUUUCCGUACCAAAUUGGCAUUCUGUUUAAAUGAAAAACACUUUUGUUUGCAGGUGGUUAAAAAAUCUUAUACGAAUAUUGUUUUUGAAGACAACUUUAUAUUAUAAUGAAAAGUUUCAGUAAUGAUGUUAGAAAUGUAUAGACAAAGGGUUAAAUAAAAGUCGGAAAAAAGUGUUUUAAGUGAUUAAAUAACAUGAUGUGAACAUUUUCAUUCAAAUUUUUACAUUUGAAAACUGGCUUCGUGUCUUCUAAUAUGAUAGGUAUUACACUAACGAGAUAGGGACCCAAACUAUGGUCCCAAAUUGAAAGUCGCCACCAGACGUCGACACUAUUCCUUUUUCAUCGCUAAUUCACGCUUUGUCCAAAAAAACGUUUUGAAACGAAACCUAAACAAUCAGUUGAUAGAUGUUUGACAAAGUAAAAACUAUGUUCGAAUUCGAAAAUCAAAUUAGUAAAGUAAACUUUUAUUCAUACGGAUUCAAGUAAAUACUAGGAAAGUUUACUUUACUUGGAAACGGGCAGAAUAAAUAAAUACUUUUUUUUAUUCAUACGACCUAAUAUUGCUUAUUGCAUGUUAACAGUUGCUUGUUGCUUAUUGCUUCGGUGUGCGAGCCGCCUUAGAGUAACAAAGAUGAUGGUGAAGAAUACGAGAGUUACUUUGAAUUGGUGUCGGUCAAUGUGGAAGCUGAGGAUGCUGGUGAAUCGCAAGUAGGCAAAAGACCGGAGGCAGAAAACACCUGUGCCAAGUGAAGCCGUUCCUAGCCGGAUGAGAAACAACUUAUGUUCCAGAUUGAUAUUGAUAAGAGGACAACCUUUACCGGGAAUGCUUGGUGCGCAGAUUGGCCCGGUUCCGAUGAUGCGUUUGUUUAGGACUACAAAGAUGAAAUCUCGGCUUGCGCUGAUUAGCCGAUAUUGUGUAACAAUGGAGAGAAAACAUUUAUCUGUAAUAAGGAUACGGUAACAUUGUAGCGGUUUAUGUUUAUCUCCAGCCGAUCCAUCUCCUCCUGUGAUCUCUUGGCACAAUGAGCAGCUGCCAGGUUCGGCCUAAGGACCACAUCACCGUUGCCUCUUUAUGAAGGCGGCAACUUCCGGCAGGUAUUUCGUACUGUUUAUCUUCCCGUUCACCGCAAGACUCGGAAGAAAAGCGGCUUGGACAUUCCCUUCUCGCCGAUCGUCAGCCAGAGAAGGACCUUCUUCGAGAACUUGAUGUGAAAUAUAUAUUUGACGUCAAUACUUACCUUCGUGGUGGGGAACGUAAAGUGCCCGGUCCCCUGCCAUUCGUUGAAUUCUAGCGUCAGGUAGGUUUCGUCAUUCAUUAUGAGCACGACAUAGCGCUUCGCCGGAAAUAAGUUUUCCAUCAGCACUUCCAGCUUCUUCAUCUGACUUCGUCUGGCGCUUCCGCAUAAAAAUGUUCAUUCUGGCUAGAUUCUUCUCCACCGUUUGGCCGGUUGUUUCGAUCUCCCGGCUUAAGGAGUGGCAGGAGAGGAUGUUGUAAAUACCAAAUUAACUAUAUCCGGUUGACACAAAGUGUCUCAAGAUGUCUAUCUUCUAUGCUCCGGGUGGAACUGGCAGUAUGAAAAAAUCAUCAAGUUGCUUGACUGUUUUCGCCAUGGCUGCUGCGAAUCAACUACGUUGAAUCAUUUUUGUUGAAGGCAUAAUAAACAUAAGAUUAAAAAAAAAAUGUUCCAUUGAAUUAUCUUUUCUAGUUUUUUUUUACCAUCGCCAUCCGAAAUUAGUCCAUUUUUUUAAUGCAUACGUUAACACUAAAAUCGUUGAAAAAUGGUUUCCAAUUUUCAAAUAUUCCAUUCGGUAAUUUGUAGAGUCCGAAUCGUGCUUGCCAGGCUUAAAAGCUUUGAUUGAGCGAUUUUUUUCAAGCGUAAACAAAAUCUGUACCACCGAAAAAUUAUAACUAUGUGCUGAUAUGUUGAAAGAAAUAAUACUGAUCAGGUUUAAUUGCAAGGACACGUUCGGAAUUUCAUGAAUAACUGAGACUAGUUAAACUAUGGUUUAUGUUCACAUUGCGUGAAUACAUAAAGUUUUUUUUGGACGUCCCGCGUUAGACCUCGGACCAUCUGGUCACUUUACCGUAAACGAAAGUGCCUCCCAGACACCAAAAUCGUCGUUUUGAGUUCAGCUUUGCUCCCUAGAUUUUUAUUCUUCAGAUAGUUCUUGGUCGUUUUUUUCAUAUUCGCCUUCGAGAUGGAAGACUUUUCACGGCCAACACAAUCUCUCAGAUUGUUAUUGUAUGCUGCUCUCCGGACAGUGUCUGCGUUGAUAGGUCUUGCAAUGAUGCCGACUACUUCGGUAUAGUGAUCCCCGAUUUUUAAAUAAAUCGUUCAUCAGCUAAUCGAAUACUUUUCAGCAGUUUAUUAUUCGAUACGAUUAAUCGACCCAAAUAAUCAUAUAAUAAAAUUUUAGUUUGGUAACGAAAACGGUGUCGGCUCAAUUCAUUCUUUCUACUAUAGUUGUUUUGUUCGAUGUAUCGUAGCUACUCAGCAUCGCGACUAUCCUCUUAUCUUUCCACGCUAUUUUUUUUUAUUCAUACUGAGUACCGUCUAUAAUUUAUAGAAGCUUCAUAUUAUCCAAUGCACAAGUUCACUAUACAUUAAGAUUCGUUUAGAAAAAGUGUACAAUGAUACAUCGUUGUAUAAAGUAUAAGAUUAGCGUGAUUCCUUGCUGUGGUGGCUGAGAGCAGACAAGCAACCGCAAAGAGUUAAUAUGCAUCAAAAGAAGGAAUGUAUUCAAAAUAUGUUGUGCCAAAUAAACCCACGAUUUUAGUGUGCUUACAGAAAA